rnacentral:lncRNA from 1 species
CAAUUGAAAAUUGUUAUCUCAAUCCAGCAGCAUCAGUCCUUGGCUUUACUUUCUCUAUCAAACCAGUCACUUCGUUCCUUUUUAGAAGCAAGGAGUAUAUGGAAUAUUACUAUGACUAUUUUAUGCUUUCUUCGCCCAUAGGGAGGGAUUCUAAUGGGCUUGCUCCCCGAUUAUACUUUCUCCAUUAUAGCAGCUUUCAUAUCAGUCCCUUUGAUAGCCUAUAGCCCUUCCCCAUUUGUAAUGCCUUCUCCCUCCUUUUCUUUUUUAAGGGUGAAAGCAAGUGAGGAUAGUUUACUUUAAGAUGAAAAAAAAUCAAAGCAAGUUAGAGAAGUCAAAUAAGAAAUUUAAGGCAUUCCAGCCCAUAAAAUUGGAGUGCCAAUUGUAGUCCUUCUGCAAGCAAGCCGCUCAAUUGAAGUGAUAGGAUAAGCCCUUCCUGUUGAAGUUCCCCUCACUACGGUUGAUGUUUAAGUGAAAGUUGGACUUUCUUUUACAGCAGUUGCAUGCUAGAAAGUUAGUGAACCAGCCAGUCAAGAAGCAGUCUCAGCUUAAUAUUAUGCGUAAGGAUAUUAUGCCUAAGGAGUUUUUGCCUCCUUGUAUAAGGCAUGUA